rnacentral:rRNA from 1 species
GAAGAAAGAGGGAGGCGUGCUUAACACAUGCAAGUCGAACGAUGACGACCGAGCUUGCUCGGUCUGAUUAGUGGCGAACGGGUGAGUAACACGUGAGCAACCUGCCCUUCACUCUGGGAUAACCUCGGGAAAUCGGGGCUAAUACCGGAUAUGAGCUCCUGUCGCAUGGCGGGUGUUGGAAAGUUUUUCGGUGAAGGAUGGGCUCGCGGCCUAUCAGUUUGUUGGUGAGGUAGUGGCUCACCAAGGCGAUGACGGGUAGCCGGCCUGAGAGGGCGACCGGCCACACUGGGACUGAGACACGGCCCAGACUCCUACGGGAGGCAGCAGUGGGGAAUAUUGCACAAUGGGCGAAAGCCUGAUGCAGCGACGCCGCGUGAGGGAUGACGGCCUUCGGGUUGUAAACCUCUUUCAGCAGGGAAGAAGCGAAAGUGACGGUACCUGCAGAAGAAGCGCCGGCUAACUACGUG